rnacentral:rRNA from 1 species
UACGAAGGGUGCAAGCGUUACUCGGAAUUACUGGGCGUAAAGCGUGCGUAGGUGGUGAGUUAAGUCUGUCGUGAAAGCCCCGGGCUCAACCUGGGAAUGGCGAUGGAUACUGGCUCGCUAGAGUGCGGUAGAGGAGAGUGGAAUUCCCGGUGUAGCAGUGAAAAUGCGUAGAGAUCGGGAGGAACAUCAGUUGCGAAGGCGGCUCUCUGGACCAGCACUGACACUGAGGCACGAAAGCGUGGGGAGCAAACAGG